rnacentral:rRNA from 1 species
AUACGGAGGGUGCAAGCGUUGUUCGGAAUUACUGGGCGUAAAGAGCGUGUAGGCUGUUUGGCAAGUCAGAUGUGAAAGCCCUGGGCUUAACCCGGGAAGUGCAUUUGAAACUGCCAUGCUUGAGUAUGGGAGAGGAGAGUGGAAUUCCCAGUGUAGAGGUGAAAUUCGUAGAUAUUGGGAGGAACACCCGUGGCGAAGGCGACUCUCUGGACCAAUACUGACGCUGAGACGCGAAAGCGUGGGGAGCAAACAGGAUUAGAUACCCCGGUAGUCC